CUUAAAAUUCUGUGUUGCUUAAUAAAGUAUAAACUUAAUUUUGAUUAUUAUGCAUGGCACAUAUUUUUCAUCCUUUAACAUUCACAUUUUCUAUGUUUUCUUUUUUUUUUUUUUUUUUUUUCUCCCAAGCACCACACCACAGCUCUCCUGCUAGGGGUGGGGUUCCUGUUUGUUACACUCAGCCAACUGGAGUUUGGAGACUGAUCGCUUAGGGGAUCUUUUUCUUUUUUCUUUUUUUCCUGUAAUGCAACAUCAUGUCAAAUGAAAAUAUUUUCUUUUAGACAUUGAAGAUCUUGCAGAUUAUGCUAGAGAAAUUCAAGGGAAUAGACAUUCAUUUCAAAUAUAAUACAUUCUAUUAUCUAUAAUACAUUCUAUUUUCUAUGUUUUUGUAUAGAAAAUAUAAGUAUAUCAAUGGGCAUUUGGGUUGAUUCCAGGUCUUUGCUAUUGUAAACAGUGCUGCAAUGAACAUUCGUGUACAUGUGUCCUUAUAGUAGAACGAUUUAUAGUCUUUUGGAUAUAUACCCAGUAAUGGGAUUGCUGGGUCAAAUGGAAUUUCUAUUUCUAAGGCCUUGAGGAAUCGCCACACCGUCUUCCACAAUGGUUGAACUAAUUUACACUCCCACCAACAGUGUAAAAGUGUUCCUUUUUCUCCACAUCCUCUCCAGCAUCUGUUGUCUCCAGAUUUUUUAAUGAUCGCCAUUCUAACUGGCGUGAGAUGGUAUCUCAAUGUGGUUUUGAUUUGCAUCUCUCUGAUGAUGAUGAGUUUGUGUCGUUUGUAGGGACGUGGAUGAAUCUGGAGAACGUCAUCCUCAGCAAACUGACACAAGAACAGAAAAUGAAACACCGCAUAUUCUCACUCAUAGAGGCAGGGUCUUGCUAUGUUGUCCAAGCUAGUCUUAAACUCCUGGGCUCAAGUGAUUCUUUGGCCACAACCCCCAAUUCCUGGGAUUAUAGAGGUAGAGUUUCAUUCUUGUUGCCCAGGCUGGAGUGCAAUGGAGUGAUCUCGGCUCACUGCAAACUCUGCCUCCAGGAACAAGCAAUCAUCCUGUUUUAGCCUCCAGAGUAGCUGGGAUAACAGGGACAUGGAUGAAUCUGGAGAACGUCAUCCUCAGCAAACUGACACAAGAACAGAAAAUGAAACACCGCAUAUUCUCACUCAUAGGUGGGUGAUGAAAAAUGAGAACACAUGGAAACAGAAAGGGGAGUACUAAACACUGGGGUCUAUUGGGGGGAAAAGGGGAGGGCCAGUGGGAGGGGGAGGUGGGGAGGGAUAGCCUGGGGAGAAAUGCCAAAUGUGGGUGAAGGGGAGAAGAAAAGCAAAGCACACUGCCAUGUGUAUACCUACGCAACUGUCUUGCAUGCUCUGCUCAUGUACCCCAAAACCUAUAAUCCAAUAAAAAAUUUAAAAAAAAAAAAAAAAGGAAACACUAAAUACUAUGUUUUAGGGUCUGUUAAUUAACAUAAAAAAUGGAACUUCUAGGAAGCAAACAUUUCUG
rnacentral:lncRNA from 1 species